GACGAACGCUGGCGGCGUGCCUAAUACAUGCAAGUCGAACGCAGUGGGGACGGGUGAGUAACACGUGGGUAACCUCCCAUCAGAGGGGAUAACACUUGGUAACAGGUGCUAAACCGAUACUGAUGGAUGGAUCCGCUGUGCAUUAGCUAGUUGGUGAGGUAACGGCUCACCAAGGCCACGAUGCAUAGCCGACCUGAGAGGGGGAUCGGCCACACUGGAACUGAGACCCGGCCCAGACGCCUACGGGAGGCAGCAGGAGGGAAUCUUCCGCAAUGGGCGAAAGUCUGACCGAGCAACGCCGCGUGAGUGAAGAAGGUUUUCGGAUCGGAAAACUCUGUUGUUAGAGAAGCGGUAUCUAACCAGAAAGCCACGGCUAACGACGUGCCAGCCGCCGCGGUAAUAC
rnacentral:rRNA from 1 species